AACAGCAUUCCACGGCUGGCUGGCUGCAGUUUUCACAGCCCUUCUGAGGGGCGGAGAGAGGAAGUUGUGCACAUGGUAAGGGGCAUGAGUAGAACAUCAAAGCCGUCAAUGGCCAUGAGUCAGUGAAAAAUCCCUCUCGGUUGCCACAGAGAGACCUGGGAUGGAAACAGUUCCCAUUUUCAAGCUGAGACGCAGGUUUCGGUAUUGACUUGACCAACCUUGGAGCCGGCAGCGGGUGACUCCAAAGCACUCAUAAUCCUGAAUGAUAAACCCAGAAGACACCAUAGAGACCAAUACUCAGAUCAGAGGGUGGAACAGAAAUGACGAGGAAUCUCAGAAACCCUCAUGGAUGCUGGCAUAUUGUGAGCACAGCAUUAACUUCCCCUGCUCCAGACAUGGUCCAGAGGCAGUGGAGACUCUGGCUGCAGAGGGCCGUUGAGGGUGGUGUUAGGAAUGAGUCUUUAGCUCUCUUUCUGGACUGAUGACACAGAAUACCAAAACAAAUUAAUGCUUGCCCUCAAACAGGAUAUAAUCCUGUUGAAAAGAAAAGGGGAGCCCAGAAACUGGGGUG